rnacentral:rRNA from 1 species
GAGUUUGAUCGUGGCUCAGGACGAACGCUGGCGGCGUGCCUAAUACAUGCAAGUCGAGCGGAUCUUCAUUAGCUUGCUUUUGAAGAUCAGCGGCGGACGGGUGAGUAACACGUGGGCAACCUGCCUGUAAGACUGGGAUAACUUCGGGAAACCGGAGCUAAUACCGGAUAAUCCUUUUCCUCUCAUGAGGAAAAGCUGAAAGACGGUUUCGGCUGUCACUUACAGAUGGGCCCGCGGCGCAUUAGCUAGUUGGUGAGGUAACGGCUCACCAAGGCGACGAUGCGUAGCCGACCUGAGAGGGUGAUCGGCCACACUGGGACUGAGACACGGCCCAGACUCCUACGGGAGGCAGCAGUAGGGAAUCUUCCGCAAUGGACGAAAGUCUGACGGAGCAACGCCGCGUGAGCGAUGAAGGCCUCGGUCGUAAGACUCUGUUGUCAGGGAAGAACGAAGUAUCGGAGUAACUGCCGGUACC